UGGGGAAUAUUGCACAAUGGGCGCAAGCCUGAUGCAGCCAUGCCGCGUGUGUGAAGAAGGCCUCGGGUUGUAAAGCACUUUCAGCGAGGAGGAAGGUGGUGAGCUUAAUACGCUCAUCAAUUGACGUUACUCGCAGAAGAAGCACCGGCUAACUCCGUGCCAGCAGCCGCGGUAAUACGGAGGGUGCAAGCGUUAAUCGGAAUUACUGGGCGUAAAGCGCACGCAGGCGGUUUGUUAAGUCAGAUGUGAAAUCCCCGGGCUCAACCUGGGAACUGCAUUUGAAACUGGCAAGCUAGAGUCUCGUAGAGGGGGGUAGAAUUCCAGGUGUAGCGGUGAAAUGCGUAGAGAUCUGGAGGAAUACCGGUGGCGAAGGCGGCCCCCUGGACGAAGACUGACGCUCAGGUGCGAAAAGCGUGGGGCAGCAAACAGGAUUAGAUACCCUGGUAGUCCACGCUGUAAACGAUGCCGAUUUUGGAGGUUGUGCCCUUGAGGCGUGGCUUCCGGAGCUAACGCGUUAAAUCGACCGCCUGGGGAGUACGGCCGCAAGGUUAAAACUUAAAUGAAUUGACGGGGUC
rnacentral:rRNA from 1 species